AAAUCAGUAGGGCUAACUGAUUUUAAGUUCUUGGAGUUUCACAUACUGAUUUUUGUAGCAUUUUAGUCUGUCAAAUGUGGCUGUUUACAUACAGUAGCUGCUGGCAUUAGGGAUUUGUGCAAUGAAACUGUUCAGAUUUUAAAACUGUAAGAUCUGAUAUAGUUCUUGCAUUUUUCUGUUGUAGGACAUCUGCCUCAUGGUUUUGCCAUGUUGUGUGUUCUGAGAUGCUUUUCUGCUCAACGUGGUUGUAAAAAGUGGUUAUUUGAGUAACCGCAGUCUUCCUGUCAGCUCAGACCAGUUUGGCUAUUCUCUUCUGAGCUCUCUCACUAACAAGUGUAAAAGAGGUGAAGGACCAAAAAAAUAAUCCACACAAAGAGAAUCAAUACGUUCUUCUCUUGUCAAAGGUUAUGGUGGAUCUGGAGCCUAUCCCAGAACACCGGAACACACCCUGAGCAGGAUGCUGGUCAGACCACACACGUGCUCAAACACACCUAUUCCGGCAUGUUUUCGGAAAGUAGGAGGAAACGGGAGAACUCAGAGGAAAUCCACGCGACACAGAGAGAACAUGCCACAGUGACCCAGGCAGCCUGGAGCUGUGAGACAGCAGCACUACCACCAUGCCACCCUUCCACAGUGACACCAGUCCUAAAUAAAGAUUUUGAUUAAUGCUAAUACAAUAAAAUGCAUUAUUUAAAUAGAUUAUAAUCCUAGACAUAAUAAAAUAUGAUCAUUAUGAACUGUAAAGUUGGAAGUCACUCAUUAGAUUGGUGUGUGCGGAAGGUAGCUCAUGUUUUGGAAAUUUUAUUCAGAAAAAAAACAAAGAACAACAUCCUGUUGUAUAUCAGUAUAUCAAGGAAAUACACUAACUGGGGGGAAAAAUAAAGAUCGAAAUCACUUCCUGGAGGAAGUUUCAUCAUUCUGAAGUGUGUUUGGAUUGUAAAAGAUACAAAACGGUGCAAUAAAC
ensembl:lncRNA